AAAGAGUUUUCGACUGUUAACAGUCUUAAACUCUUUAUAGUUAUUCCUUCCUAAACUAUAACGCCGUAUCAUACAGAUUAAUACUAUCUAUAAGUAAUGUCUAAUAACUAGUAAUUACUAGUAAUAUACAAGUGUCUUAUAAUUAGUUAUUAGAUACAUUAGUUUAGUAAUUAGAUCUAUAUAUUAUAAGAUAGUUAUUAUUAGUUAUUUAACAGUUGACAAGAUGGUUUUGUUUGCCAUAUUGUAGUGAAUAAAACCCUCUUAUAUUUGUGAUCUACAAUGGUUUAGUUAGGAGAAUGCAUGAAUACUGGUAUAGAAUAGAACACAAGAUAGAAAACAAGACUAAAUAGAAAGCUAGAAAAUAGGAAAUAACUGAUUCAUAUUCCUUUAUUAAAUUAAGAAACUAUGAUUGUAUCAAGUUAACUAUAUUUUAUGGUAAGCAAGUUGGCAUACCUGCAAGACUUACAAGUAAAGAACAUGAAAAUGCCUUGAACAAUAUAUGAUUAAAUGAACAAAGGAUCAAAAAUGCAUUAUCUGAAAAUCAAUUAGAAUGUAGAAUAAAGAUUAAUUAUCAGUCUGGAAGAGGGUUUAGUUGUUCAUUUCCUGUCUUAAUUCCUACUGAUACAAUUAAAGCAAUAAAGUUCUUAGGUUUGGCUGAUUUUAGUAGUCAAGUUGGAGUUUCAGCAAAAACUCUCUAUUUAUUCUAGAACACAAUUUUUACAAAAAUUCUGUUUUGAAUAAAAUAUUCUAAAAAUAUAAUAACGCAACUUAACGUGAUAGAAAUCUUGUACGAAUAAUUGGAAUUGCCUUGCUACACUAAUAGCUGAUUAAAAGGUUUCGGAUGCUGAAACGACUAUCAAACUUCAGCAGCUAACUAUCUUUUUUUAUAGGGAAAGUGUCUUGGAGCUUUUUAUCAAAACUCCUGUAUAUAUAUAAAUAUAUUUUGAUUUGUUUGAAUAGUUUUUAAAGUAGCAAUUUUAAUUUUUUUAAUAAUUGAUUUUCGCAAGAAAUAUUGUUAUGAGAAAAACAAAAGAACACAAUAAAAUUUACUAAAAUUUUUUUAACAAGAUGUAAAGCAAGACUUUUAAAAGUGAUUAAAGUUAAAAGUAGCACUGCAAGCAGUUUAAAUGAAGUAGGUCGACAAGAUAUGACUAAGUUUGGAUCAAAAUACGGAUCUGGCCCAGACACUGUUAAAAACAAAAUUAUUAACGAAAUAGCAUAAAAGAUGCGAACCUUUUCCGUAGUUCAAACGACAUUAAAACUUAUUUUUUUAAAGUUAAUUUAAAACAGUUCCAAAUAAAAUUUAUACUUUAAA